GAUGAACGCUGGCGGCGUGCCUAAUGCGUGCAAGUCGAGCGAACAGAUGAGGAGCUUGCUCCUCUGACGUUAGCGGCGGACGGGUGAGUAACACGUGGAUAACCUACCUAUAAGACUGGGAUAACUUCGGGAAACCGGAGCUAAUACCGGAUAAUAUAUUGAACCGCAUGGUUCAAUAGUGAAAGACGGUUUUGCUGUCACUUAUAGAUGGAUCCGCGCCGCAUUAGCUAGUUGGUAAGGUAACGGCUUACCAAGGCAACGAUGCGUAGCCGACCUGAGAGGGUGAUCGGCCACACUGGAACUGAGACACGGUCCAGACUCCUACGGGAGGCAGCAGUAGGGAAUCUUCCGCAAUGGGCGAAAGCCUGACGGAGCAACGCCGCGUGAGUGAUGAAGGUCUUCGGAUCGUAAAACUCUGUUAUUAGGGAAGAACAAAUGUGUAAGUAACUAUGCACGUCUUGACGGUACCUAAUCAGAAAGCCACGGCUAACUACGUG
rnacentral:rRNA from 1 species